AUUGAACGCUGGCGACAGGCCUAACACAUGCAAGUCGAGCGCGAAAGUCUUCGGAUGAGUAAAGCGGCGAACGGGUGAGUAAUGCAUGGGAAUCUGCCUGGUAGUGGGGGACAACGUCUCGAAAGGGACGCUAAUACCGCAUACGCCCUACGGGGGAAAGGGGGGGAGUCUUCGGACCUCUCGCUAUCAGAUGAGCCCAUGUCAGAUUAGCUAGUUGGUGAGGUAAAGGCUCACCAAGGCGACGAUCUGUAACUGGUCUGAGAGGAUGAUCAGUCACACUGGAACUGAGACACGGUCCAGACUCCUACGGGAGGCAGCAGUGGGGAAUAUUGGACAAUGGGGGCAACCCUGAUCCAGCCAUGCCGCGUGUGUGAAGAAGGCCCUAGGGUUGUAAAGCACUUUCAGUGGGGAGAAAGGUUAUUCACCUAAAUACGUGAGUAGAUUGAUGUUACCCACAGAAGAAGCACCGGCUAACUCCGUGCCAGCAGCCGCGGUAAU
rnacentral:rRNA from 1 species